AGAGUUUGAUCAUGGCUCAGAUUGAACGCUGGCGGCAGGCCUAACACAUGCAAGUCGAGCAGAUGAAGAGAGCUUGCUCUUUGAUUCAGCGGCGGACGGGUGAGUAAUGCCUAGGAAUCUGCCUGAUAGUGGGGGACAACGUUUCGAAAGGAACGCUAAUACCGCAUACGUCCUACGGGAGAAAGCAGGGGACCUUCGGGCCUUGCGCUAUCAGAUGAGCCUAGGUCGGAUUAGCUAGUUGGUGAGGUAAUGGCUCACCAAGGCGACGAUCCGUAACUGGUCUGAGAGGAUGAUCAGUCACACUGGAACUGAGACACGGUCCAGACUCCUACGGGAGGCAGCAGUGGGGAAUAUUGGACAAUGGGCGAAAGCCUGAUCCAGCCAUGCCGCGUGUGUGAAGAAGGUCUUCGGAUUGUAAAGCACUUUAAGUUGGGAGGAAGGGCAUUAACCUAAUACGUUAGUGUUUUGACGUUACCGACAGAAUAAGCACCGGCUAACUUCGUGCCAGCAGCCGCGGUAAUACGAAGGGUGCAAGCGUUAAUCGGAAUUACUGGGCGUAAAGCGCGCGUAGGUGGUUUGUUAAGUUGAAUGUGAAAGCCCCGGGCUCAACCUGGGAACUGCAUCCAAAACUGGCAAGCUAGAGUAUGGCAGANGGUGGUGGAAUUUCCUGUGUAGCGGUGAAAUGCGUAGAUAUAGGAAGGAACACCAGUGGCGAANGCGACCACCUGGGCUAAUACUGACACUGANGUGCGAAAGCGUGGGGAGCAAACAGGAUUANAUACCCUGGNUAGUCCACGCCGUAAACGAUGUCGACUAGCCGUUGGGAUNCUUGAGAUCUUANUGGCGCANCUNACGCAUUAANUCGACCGCCUGGGGAGUACGGCCGCAAGGUUAAANCUCNNUGAAUUGACNGGGGCCCGCACAAGCGGUGGANCAUGUGGUUUNA
rnacentral:rRNA from 1 species